AGUGCUGGGAUUACAGGCAUGAGCCACCGUGCCCAGCUGUUUUUCUUCUAUUAUUAUUGUUCUUGCAGGAGCUGGUAAAGUGGCUGAUGUGGCCACAGCUCCAUAAAUCCAUGUGGAACGAAGGGUGGACAUCGCCUGAGUCCAGGAGACAGGACAGGGUCACUCAUCUCUGUCCCUGGUGAUGGAAACUCAGGCUCAGGAAAGAGCCUUGACCUGCCCUGGGUCACAGAGAGAAUAUUAGGGUCAGGGCUUGAGCCCGGGUGCUGUGGUCAGGCCCUUAGGCCGCCUCUCACACCCAGACUAGGAAGCUGGAGCAGAAAGUUUGCUAGAACAAUCCUGAGAAGAGGCCUGCACAGUUCAAGGGGCAGCUUGGAGGAGGAGAGGGAGGGAGGACCGGCUCUGGCCAGUGGGCUCUUGGACCUCAGGCCAGGCUCUGGCAGCUGCAUCUGGUAUCAGGCCUGCAGGUCCAGUGCCUAUUAUGGGGCCUAUUAUGACUGCACAAGGGGCCUCAAGUUCAUUCAGGCCAAGCCUCUCAUUCUGCAGAGAACCACACAGUGGUUGCCGGGAUUUGCCCAAGGCUGGUGGGUUGGUCAUGAGGGCAGGCCCGAACUCAUCUCUAUUUUCUUGCAUUCCGGCUCUCCUGAUGUUCCAGGCCCAUCUCUGAGUCAUCCUUGGACAGGAGAGAUCCCAGAGGGCUCUGCAGUCCCAGGGAUUCGCAGUGUUAGUUGAUCUCCGGGGACACUAGUUCCCAAGAGACCCCACUGAAGGCCUGGCUGUACCAUCAUAGGCUGUGUGCCCUUGGGCAAGAACCUCUACCAUUCCUCGUUGCCUGUAUAUAAAUUGAAGGCUUUGCUCUAGACAGCGCUGGGGAGAAUGAACGCCUGAGUACUCAUGUCUUUAUGCACUGUAGUAUUAUUUCCUUACAACAGACUCCUGAACCUGGAACGGCAGUGUCAAAGGGUUCACAAAAUGUUAGACUUCUGAAGCAAAUCAGAUGGCACCUUUUUUGAAUAAUGAAGAAUCUUUACCCCUGGCAUGAGGAGCUGAGGACAACUCCCACUCCACGAUGUGAAGCCACAGAGUUUCGAGGCCCCAGGACCUCCAGCGUCAAUGUUGUGGGAUGAUGGGUGACAGAGCCAAAGCAUCGCCAUCUUGGACAAGCACGGUCAUUCUGAAGUUCCCCUUGAUCAAAAACUGCCUAAACCCAAAGGAUAUCAGCCUGAUGGCUAAGGUCAGCAUGACCAUAAACCAUAAAUAACAUCUCUGACCAGGAACAUUCCAAACCCCUCCAUGAGACAUGCCAGCCCUGAGAUAACCUCCCCUCCGGCCAGAAAGAUGUCAGACCCAAGAUAACCUCCCCUCCGACCAGAGACAUCCCAACCCUGCCAUAAACUUCUCCCCCACACAGAAACAUUCUGAGCUUGUAAUAAGCCCCCUCAUCCUAAAACCAAUAUAUACUCUUAGUCCGUAAGAGAAAGUGCUCCUGAACAAAAUUGGCCAGAAGCCCCUCUCCGGCUUAUUUUCUCUAAAAUACAUCUGUCGUUAAAUUGAGCCACA
rnacentral:lncRNA from 1 species